rnacentral:rRNA from 1 species
AGAGUUUGAUCCUGGCNCAGGAUGAACGCUAGCGGCAGGCUUAACACAUGCAAGUCGAGGGGCAGCACGGGUAGCAAUACUUGGUGGCGACCGGCGCAAGGGUGCGUAACGCGUGAGCAACAUGCCCGUAUCAGGGGGAUAAUCCAUGGAAACGUGGUCUAAUACCCCAUAGUAAGUUUUUGGGGCAUCUCAAAGAUUUUAAAGCUUUGGUGGAUACGGAUUGGCUCGCGUGACAUUAGCUAGAUGGUAAGGUAACGGCUUACCAUGGCUACGAUGUCUAGGGGUUCUGAGAGGAAGGUCCCCCACACUGGAACUGAGACACGGUCCAGACUCCUACGGGAGGCAGCAGUGAGGAAUAUUGGACAAUGGAUGGAAAUCUGAUCCAGCCAUGCCGCGUGCAGGAAGACGGCCCUAUGGGUUGUAAACUGCUUUUGUAUGGGAGCAAUAAGGGCUACGUGUAGUCCGAUGAGAGUACCAUACGAAUAAGCACCGGCUAACUCCGUGCCAGCAGCCGCGGUAAUACGGAGGGUGCAAGCGUUAUCCGGAUUUAUUGGGUUUAAAGGGUGCGUAGGCGGUUUGAUAAGUCAGCGGUGAAAUAUUUCAGCUUAACUGGAAGGGUGCCGUUGAUACUGUCGAGCUUGAAUUUAGUUGCUGUGGGUGGAAUGUGUGGUGUAGCGGUGAAAUGCAUAGAUAUCACACAGAAUAUCGAUUGCGAAGGCAGCUCACAAAGCUAAUAUUGACGCUGAUGCACGAAAGUGUGGGGAUCAAACAGGAUUAGAUACCCUGG